UACGUAGGGUGCAAGCGUUAAUCGGAAUUACUGGGCGUAAAGCGUGCGCAGGCGGUUGUGCAAGACAGAUGUGAAAUCCCCGGGCUCAACCUGGGAACUGCAUUUGAAACUGGCGGGCUUGAGUGUGGCAGAGGGGGGUGGAAUUCCGCGUGUAGCAGUGAAAUGCGUAGAGAUGCGGAGGAACACCGAUGGCGAAGGCAGCCCCCUGGGCCAACACUGACGCUCAGGCACGAAAGCGUGGGGAGCAAACAGG
rnacentral:rRNA from 1 species